rnacentral:rRNA from 1 species
AUUGAACGCUGGCGGCAGGCCUAACACAUGCAAGUCGAACGAGUGGCGGACGGGUGAGUAAUGUCUGGGAAACUGCCUGAUGGAGGGGGAUAACUACUGGAAACGGUAGCUAAUACCGCAUACCCUCAGAUGUGCCCAUAUGUGAUGAGCUGGUUGGUGGGGUAACGGCUCACCAAGGCGACGAUCCCUAGCUGGUCUGCGAGGAUUACCGCCCACACUGGAACUGAGACACGGUCCGGACUCCUACGGAAGGCAGCAGUGGGGAAUAUUGCACAAUGGGCGCAAGCCGGAUGCGGCCAUGCCGCGUGUAUGAAGAAGGCCUUCGGGUUGUAAAGUACUUUAAGCGGGGAGGCGUUACCCGCAGAAGAAGCACCGGCUAACUCCGUGCCAGCAGCCGCGGUAAUAC